UUGUCUUUCCACUUUUUGGCUUUCGACUUCAGCGCUACUCCACUUGUUAAUUUUUCCUGCCCCAGAGGAGCGACAUCAUCAAUUAGCUUUUGUGGACACGGUGUUCCAUUCACACACACGUUUCUUUGUGCUGCAUUUUUCUUGCUUCAUAGGAGCGGAUUUCCGACUAACGCAUCUGGGGACACAGUUCCGACUAACACACACACACGUUUCUUUGUGCUACAUUUUUCCUGCUUCAUUGGGACACAGUUCCGAUUAACACACACACACGUUUCUUUGUGCUGCAUUUUUCCUGCUUCAUAGGAGCGGAUUUCCGACUAACAUACACACACGUAUAAUCGCAGCUUCUCCGUUUGAAGUGUUUUGUAUGUAAGUUAAAAUAAGUUAUUAGAGCAGUGCUUAUUCAUAAGAUGAUAUUUCCAAAUUACAUUAAUUUUUUAAGUUUAAGCGUUACUAAUUUCAGUGGGGUUAAAAUUAUUUUGUGUGUCAAUAAAUAACAUCUGAAG